UGCUUAGGGAGUCACCUGUGCGGGCCCCUCUUUACUGAGAACACCAAAGGAAACAGGCUGCAUUUGGAAGGGGCUGAAGCUGUGGACCUCUCCCCAGGAUGGCUGGCUUCUUCUCUAGCCGACAGGCUCCCAUGCAAAGGAUGCUGGGUUGGGGAGGCUCCCAGAGCUGCUGAGAACUGUAAAGGCUUUCUGGGUUUGUCAAGAGAAAAGUGAAGGCAGAGGAAGGCACGCCCUGGAGAGCUGCCAUUGACCAUGGCCCCCACCUCUCACAUCUCCCUCUGGAGCGUCUUUCUUACAGUGACCCUCCUCCCUUGCAUAGUGCAGGCUGGGCAGCUUCCUCGACAGCCAGAAGGCUGGGGACAAAGCCUUGACAAACACCCUACUCAGGAAUCCCAGCAGGACCAUGGGGAAACCCCUGGGACCAGGCACCAGAACCUUAACACUCAGGACCAGUCCAGGUUAAAUCAAGGGGGUAGAGGUGAACUUGGCACAGACCUCAUAGAUUGGCUCAGGGCUACUGUGGGGCCAGGAGAAACUGGAAAGUCCAGAAAGUCUCCAAAUAGCCCAGUCCUGUCCCCGUCCACCUCUCCUCCUUUGAGCUCAGUAGCCAGUCUUGGGACCCCUCCUGAUCAAGAUAGUGUCACUGGAGCUGUGUGGAUGGGGCCUCCACCUAGACAGGAGGGAUACAGUUUGGUAGAUAAAUUAGGCACCAGGGAUGCAGGGGGCAGGGAUAUGGGGCUCAAGUUUUGGGUUUCAAAGGGACCCAUUUCCGAAGACAGAAGGGGUCCUCUGAAUUCAGAGCAGACUCCAGGACAAGCGGCUCCAUUCCCUUUUGCAGGUGGGUCCCCAGAGGAGUCCCCAACUCUUCAUCUCUUCCCCACUGUUGCCCUAGGGCCCAGAACUCAAAGACCCCAUCCAAAGGUGUCCACAGUUCAGGAGAAGGUAGAGGUCUUGUCCAAAGGUGUGACAAGCCCUACCCCAGAAGGGAUUCCUAGGGAAGACCUGGGUUGGAAGGUAGUGAGCAGGGAUGAUGACCUUAAUCUUCAAGAGCCAUUGGCUGCCCAGGCUCCAGUUCUUUCAUGGAUGCCUUUCAUGACAACUGACCAAGAGCACCAGCCACCAAGUAGCAGUCCUGUGAUCCCAGGGGCAGGCAGACAGCUGAUUAUGCAAGCAGACUCUGUCACCCUCAGGACCAUGAACAGUUAUGUCCCCUUCCCAAUAGACCAUGCCCUGAGCCCUACUGUGGGAGCUGGAGAGGGAAAGACAGCAAAAGCACAAAGUUGGAGUGGGGAGGUUACCACUAAAGGGAGGAAGCAGGGUUCCCCAAAACCAGGGGGAGGGAGGAGCUGGAGUGAAGAAGCCCAGACCCCCCAGGUUAUCACCGAGAAGAGUUCUGUGUCUUCCGUCCUAAGGCCUGAAACUCUCCUAAAGCCUGAGCUGACAUCCUCCACUCCAGGGGCUUCCUCUCAGGAUUCCAGGUCCCUGCCCAUCUGGAUCUCAGCAAACCACCUGCCCUCAGUCCUGGCCGAAGAGCCUGACCUCAGGACUGGACGCUGGAGUACCCAUUUUGCCCAUCAAAUCAGCACCCAAAAGGCUCCCCUUAGCCCCCAGACUGAGGACUCUGACAGUGAGGGGAACAGUCUCUCUGCUACACUUCUCGCCAGCUCCAGGUCACCAUCCCCUUCCCCUGUCUCCAACGCCACAGCUCCAUUGUCUCGGGAGCAUCAGCCUGGGCCAGAGACAGGACUCUUGGAAGGAGCUGAACUGAUUUCCCCUCAGCGAGUAAGAGGGGCUGUGGAAUCCCCAAAUUCCCAGAAUUCUACCACUCCAAGCACCCCUGCUUCUGAGAGGAUGACCAAUGCCACAAAGAGCCUCCCAGCAGCUGGCCCACCAGGUGAGAGAACUAUUUGUGGGGCCUGAAUGUGGUGGGGAGAGAGGCCCCUUUUCACCCAACUUCCUACAGAAGAGUUCAGAUUUGAAAUCCUCUGAUUUGGAACCCUGAUUUGGAGACCAGGAGGCCACAUCUAGCCCCAUUAGAAGACCUAGGGCCAAUUUUCCUAGAGGGACAAGAAUUAUUUUUUUGGUCUGCUGUUCCCGUUUUUAAAAAGCCACUGCUUUCCCAUUUUACCUUUUCCUUAGCUUUCUAAAAGAGGAAGGCCAUUCUACGUGAUUCAUUUGUGGCCUUAGGGGUUGGGGAGUUUUCCCAAUGCCAAGCAAAUUUCUGUCUACCUCUCCAUUCUGCUGCUCUAAGGACUAGGGUGGCCAGCUCCAUAGAGUUCCAGUUUUUUCCACAGGGUGCCAGAUAACAACGAUUAAGAGAGAG
rnacentral:lncRNA from 1 species